UGGGGGAUAUUGCACAAUGGGCGAAAGCCUGAUGCAGCGACGCCGCGUGGGGGAUGAAGGCCUUCGGGUUGUAAACUUCUUUUGCUCUGAACAAGGCAUGCCUUUGGGGUGUGUUGAGUGUAGGGGUUGAUUAGCGCCGGCUAACUACGUGCCAGCAGCCGCGGUAAUACGUAGGGCGCGAGCGUUGUCUGGAAUUAUUGGGCGUAAAGGGCUUGUAGGUGGCUGGUUGCGUCUGUCGUGAAAGCUCAUGGCUUAACUGUGGGUUUGCGGUGGGUACGGGCUGGCUUGAGUGCAGUAGGGGGGGCUGGAAUUCCUGGUAUAGCGGUGGAAUGCGCAGAUAUCAGGAGGAAUACCGGAGGCGAAGGCGGGUCUCUGAGCUGUAACUAACGCUAAGGAGCGAAAGCGUGGGGAGCGAACAGG
rnacentral:rRNA from 1 species